UCGCUUUGGCAGCACAUCUGCUAAAAUUAGAACAAUACAGAAGAUCAGCACAGCCCCUGUGCGGGGAUGACAUGCAGAUUUCAAGUAUUCCAUAUUUGAUUU